rnacentral:rRNA from 1 species
UACGAAGGGUGCAAGCGUUAAUCGGAAUUACUGGGCGUAAAGGGUGCGUAGGCGGUUCGUUAAGUCUGUCGUGAAAUCCCCGGGCUCAACCUGGGAAUGGCGAUGGAUACUGGCGAGCUAGAGUGUGUCAGAGGAUGGUGGAAUUCCCGGUGUAGCGGUGAAAUGCGUAGAGAUCGGGAGGAACAUCAGUGGCGAAGGCGGCCAUCUGGGACAACACUGACGCUGAGGUGCGAAAGCGUGGGGAGCGAACAGG